ensembl:snRNA U5 U5 spliceosomal RNA
CAGGUCGAGUUUCUUAUCAUUGUCGCAUAAAUCUUUCGCCUUUUACUAAAGAUUUCCGUGGAGAGGAACUUUUGCAAGUGAUCUGUAUUUUUGGGGGCUCUGCUCACAGCA